CCUACGGGAGGCUGCAGUAGGGAAUAUUGCUCAAUGGGGGAAACCCUGAUGCAGCAACGCCGCGUGGGUGAUGAAGGUUUUCGGAUUGUAAACUCCUUUUGUCAGAGAAGAUAAUGACGGUAUCUAACGAAUAAGCACCGGCUAACUCCGUGCCAGCAGCCGCGGUAAUACGUAGGAUGCGAGCGUUAUCCGGAUUUACUGGGUGUAAAGGGUGCGCAGGCGGCAGGUCAAGUCAGGCGUGAAAGGCCGGGGCUUAACCCCGGCACGGCGGUGGAAACUGGAGUUCUAGAGUGGAGGAGAGGUAUGCGGAAUGCGUGGUGUAGCGGUGAAAUGCGUAGAUAUCGGGAGGAACACCGAUUGCGAAGGCGGCAUGCCGGAUCGAAACUGACGCUGAGGCACGAAAGCGUGGGUAGCGAACAGGAUUAGAUACCCGUGUAGUC
rnacentral:rRNA from 1 species